rnacentral:rRNA from 1 species
AGUGGCGAACGGGUGAGUAACACGUGGGCAACCUGCCCAAAAGAGGGGGAUAACACUUGGAAACAGGUGCUAAUACCGCAUAACCAUAGUUACCGCAUGGUAACUAUGUAAAAGGUGGCUAUGCUACCGCUUUUGGAUGGGCCCGCGGCGCAUUAGCUAGUUGGUGGGGUAAAGGCUUACCAAGGCAAUGAUGCGUAGCCGAACUGAGAGGUUGAUCGGCCACAUUGGGACUGAGACACGGCCCAAACUCCUACGGGAGGCAGCAGUAGGGAAUCUUCCACAAUGGGCGAAAGCCUGAUGGAGCAACGCCGCGUGGGUGAAGAAGGUCUUCGGAUCGUAAAACCCUGUUGUUAGAGAAGAAAGUGCGUGAGAGUAACUGUUCACGUUUCGACGGUAUCUAACCAGAAAGCCACGGCUAACUACGUGCCAGCAGCCGCGGUAAUACGUAGGUGGCAAGCGUUAUCCGGAUUUAUUGGGCGUAAAGGGAACGCAGGCGGUGCGGCAAGUCUGAUGUGAAAGCCCGGGGCUCAACCCCGGGACUGCAUUGGAAACUACCGAACUAGAGUGUCGGAGAGGUAAGUGGAAUUCCUAGUGUAGCGGUGAAAUGCGUAGAUAUUAGGAGGAACACCAGUGGCGAAGGCGGCUUACUGGACGAUAACUGACGCUNAGGCUCGAAAGCGUGGGGAGCAAACAGGAUUANAUACCCUGGUA